rnacentral:rRNA from 1 species
GAUGAACGCUGGCGGCGUGCCUAAUACAUGCAAGUCGAGCGAACGGACGAGAAGCUUGCUUCUCUGAUGUUAGCGGCGGACGGGUGAGUAACACGUGGAUAACCUACCUAUAAGACUGGGAUAACUUCGGGAAACCGGAGCUAAUACCGGAUGAUAUUUUGAACCGCAUGGUUCAAAAGUGAAAGACGGUCUUGCUGUCACUUAUAGAUGGAUCCGCGCUGCAUUAGCUAGUUGGUAAGGUAACGGCUUACCAAGGCAACGAUGCAUAACCGACCUGAGAGGGUGAUCGGCCACACUGGAACUGAGACACGGUCCAGACUCCUACGGGAAGCAGCAGUAGGGAAUCUUCCGCAAUGGGCGAAAGCCUGACGGAGCAACGCCGCGUGAGUGAUGAAGGUCUUCGGAUCGUAAAACUCUGUUAUUAGGGAAGAACAUAUGUGUAAGUAACUGUGCACAUCUUGCCGGUACCUAAUCAGAAAGCCACGGCUAACUACGUG